rnacentral:rRNA from 1 species
UACGGGGGGAGCAAGCGUUGUUCGGAUUUACUGGGCGUAAAGGGCGCGUCGGCGGCCACCGCAAGUCGACUGUGAAAUCUCCGGGCUUAACCCGGAAAGGUCAGCCGAUACUGCGGGGCUAGGGUGCAGAAGGGGCAACUGGAAUUCUCGGUGUAGCGGUGAAAUGCGUAGAUAUCGAGAGGAACACCUGCGGCGAAGGCGGGUUGCUGGGCUGACACUGACGCUGAGGCGCGAAAGCUAGGGGAGCGAACGGG